UUUGGGGGCAGUGUCUACAGACUCUUCUUCUCUGCCUCCGCCCUGCUCUUGGCCCGAGCUUCGUGCCUCUCCUGUUUUCUAGCCAGACCCGGAAAAACGAAAACACUGCUCCGAGAGCCCCCACCAGCUGGCGCCUGUGCCAGCUCACCUCUGGUCAUGGCAUGGCGCAGCUGCCUGCCGGUGCACACCGCGGCCAAGGCCAGCUCCACAUUCUUCCCUCCCUCUCCCCAAUUCGCCGGAGACCAAGCCCUGAAUGCAGAGGAAGGGCCCCAGCUCCACAGACUGCCAAAGCCAACUGGGUCCCUCCUCACCAAAAAUGGUGAGAUAAGAUUUCAUUUUGUCUGCUGAGGAGCCCCAAGCAG
ensembl:misc_RNA